AUUGAACGCUGGCGGCAGGCCUAACACAUGCAAGUCGAGCGAGCGGCGGACGGGUGAGUAAUGUCUGGGAAACUGCCCGAUGGAGGGGGAUAACUACUCGAAACGGUAGCUAAUACCGCAUACCAUCAGAUGUGCCCAGAUGGGAUUAGCUAGUAGUUGGGGUAACGGCUCACCCAGGCGACGAUCCGUAACUGGUCUGAGAGGAUGAUCAGUCACACUGGAACUGAGACACGGUCCAGAAUCCUACGGUAGGCAGCAGUGGGGAAUAUUGGACAAUGGGCGAAAGCCUGAUCCAGCCAUGCCGCGUGUAUGAAGAAGACCUUCGGGUUGUAAAGCACUUUCAGCGGGGAGGCGUUACCCGCAGAAGAAGCACCGGCUAACUCCGUGCCAGCAGCCGCGGUAAUUC
rnacentral:rRNA from 1 species